rnacentral:tRNA from 1 species
GAGAUUUUAGCUUAAAAUAAAGUGUUUUAUUUUGCAGAUAAAAGAUAAUUUGAAAUAUUAAAUCUUA